AUUGAACGCUGGCGGCAGGCCUAACACAUGCAAGUCGAACGCGUGGCGGACGUGUGAGUAAUGUCUGGGAAACUGCUUGAUGGAGGGGGAAAACUACUGGAAACGGUAGCUAAAACCGCAUACCCUCAGAGUUGCCAAGAUGGGCUUAUCUAGUUGGUGGGGUAAGGGUUCACCAAGGCGCCGAUCCCUAGUUGGUCGGAGAGGAUGACAGGCCACACUGGAACUGAGACACGGUCCAGACUCCUACGGGAGGCAGCAGUGGGGAAUAUUGCACAAUGGGCGCAAGCCUGAUGCAGCCAUGCGGCGUGUAUGAAGAAGGCCUUCGGGUUGUAAAGUACUUUCAGCGGGGAGGCGUUUCCCACAGAGAAAGUACCGGCUAACUCCGUGCCAGCAGCCGCGGUAAUUC
rnacentral:rRNA from 1 species